AUUGAACGCUGGCGGCAGGCCUAACACAUGCAAGUCGAGCGGAUGAAGGGAGCUUGCUCCUGGAUUCAGCGGCGGACGGGUGAGUAAUGCCUAGGAAUCUGCCUGGUAGUGGGGGAUAACGUCCGGAGACGGGCGCUAAUACCGCAUACGUCCUGAGGGAGAAAGUGGGGGAUCUUCGGACCUCACGCUAUCAGAUGAGCCUAGGUCGGAUUAGCUAGUUGGUGGGGUAAAGGCCUACCAAGGCGACGAUCCGUAACUGGUCUGAGAGGAUGAUCAGUCACACUGGAACUGAGACACGGUCCAGACUCCUACGGGAGGCAGCAGUGGGGAAUAUUGGACAAUGGGCGAAAGCCUGAUCCAGCCAUGCCGCGUGUGUGAAGAAGGUCUUCGGAUUGGAAAGCACUUUAAGUUGGGAGGAAGGGCAGUAAGUUAAUACCUUGCUGUUUUGACGUUACCAACAGAAUAAGCACCGGCUAACUUCGUG
rnacentral:rRNA from 1 species